rnacentral:rRNA from 1 species
CUCGGAGUUUGAUCCUGGCUCAGAUUGAACGCUGGCGGAAUGCUUUACACAUGCGAGUCGAACGGUAGAGGGGGCAACCCCUCGAGAGUGGCGAACGGGUGAGUAAUAUAUCGGAACGUGCCCAGUCGUGGGGGAUAACGUAGCGAAAGUUACGCUAAUACCGCAUACGAUCUACGGAUGAAAGCGGGGAUCGCAAGACCUCGCGCGAUUGGAGCGGCCGAUAUCAGAUUAGGUAGUUGGUGGGGUAAAGGCUCACCAAGCCAACGAUCUGUAGCUGGUCUGAGAGGACGACCAGCCACACU